rnacentral:rRNA from 1 species
UACGUAGGGUCCGAGCGUUGUCCGGAAUUAUUGGGCGUAAAGAGCUCGUAGGCGGUUUGUCGCGUCUGCUGUGAAAAUCCAGGGCUUAACCCUGGACCUGCAGUGGGUACGGGCAGACUAGAGUGCGGUAGGGGAGAUCGGAAUUCCUGGUGUAGCGGUGAAAUGCGCAGAUAUCAGGAGGAACACCGGUGGCGAAGGCGGAUCUCUGGGCCGUAACUGACGCUGAGGAGCGAAAGCAUGGGGAGCGAACAGG